AAUAGAUACCCGGGUAGUCCACCCCGUAAACGUUGGGAACUAGUUGUGGGGUCCUUUCCACGGAUUCCGUGACGCAGCUAACGCAUUAAGUUCCCCGCCUGGGGAGUACGGCCGCAAGGCUAAAACUCAAAGGAAUUGACGGGGACCCGCACAAGCGGCGGAGCAUGCGGAUUAAUUCGAUGCAACGCGAAGAACCUUACCAAGGCUUGACAUACACCAGAACACCCUAGAAAUAGGGGACUCUUUGGACACUGGUGAACAGGUGGUGCAUGGUUGUCGUCAGCUCGUGCCGUGAGAUGUUGGGUUAAGUCCCGCAACGAGCGCAACCCUCGUUCUAUGUUGCCAGCACGUAAUGGUGGGAACUCAUGGGAUACUGCCGGGGUCAACUCGGAGGAAGGUGGGGAUGACGUCAAAUCAUCAUGCCCCUUAUGUCUUGGGCUUCACGCAUGCUACAAUGGCCGGUACAAAGGGCUGCAAUACCGUGAGGUGGAGCGAAUCCCAAAAAGCCGGUCCCAGUUCGGAUUGAGGUCUGCAACUCGACCUCA
rnacentral:rRNA from 1 species